rnacentral:tRNA from 1 species
AGAACUGUGCCCGAACGUCUAGGGGCCACUUUGAUAGAGUGGACAAUAGGGGUUAAAGCCCCCUCAGUUCUU